rnacentral:misc_RNA from 1 species
CAGCCCGGUAAUUCCAGCUCCAAUAGCGUAUAUUAAAGUUGUUGCAGUUAAAAAGCUCGUAGUUGAAUUUCGGGAUUGACACAUCGGUCGUGCCUUAAGGGGUAUGAACUGGUGUAGCCAAUUUCUCACCUUCUGGAGAACCGCGAUGUCCUUAAUUGGGUGCCGCGAGGAACCAGGACCUUUACUUUGAAAAAAUUAGAGUGUUUAAAGCAGGCAUUUUGCUUGAAUACAUUAGCAUGGAAUAAUAAAAUAGGACGGCAUGAUUCUAUUUUGUUGGUUUCUAGGAUCACCGUAAUGAUUAAUAGGGAUAGUUGGGGGGAUUAGUAUUCAAUUGUCAGAGGUGAAAUUCUUGGAUUUAUUGAAGACUAACUACUGCGAAAGCAUUUGCCAAGGAUGUUUUCAUUAAUCAAGAACGAAAGUUAGGGGAUCGAAGACGAUCAGAUACCGUCGUAGUCUUAACCAUAAACUAUGCCGACUAGGAAUCAGACGAUGUUAAUUUUUUAAUGACUCGUUUGGCACCUUACG